GACAAACGCUGGCGGCAUGCCUAACACAUGCAAGUCGAACGGACAGACCAGGGAAGCUUUUCGGAGUGGAACUGGAAAGUUAGUGGCGGAUGGGUGAGUAACGCGUGGACAACCUACCUUGUAAAGGGGAAUAACCUCGAGAAAUCGAAGCUAAUACCCCAUAAUAACCUUGCUUCGCAUGAAGUAAGGAGGAAAGGCGGCCUUAGCGCUGUCGAUACAAGAUGGGUCCGCGUCUGAUUAGCUAGUUGGUGAGGUAAAGGCUCACCAAGGCGACGAUCAGUAGCCGACCUGAGAGGGUGAACGGCCACAUUGGGACUGAGACACGGCCCAAACUCCUACGGGAGGCAGCAGUGGGGAAUCUUCCGCAAUGGGCGAAAGCCUGACGGAGCAAUGCCGCGUGAGUGAAGAAGGCCUUCGGGUUGUAAAACUCUGUCCUUAUCGAAGAGAGAGUGUUGUAGUAACUGACAAUACUAGGACGGUAGAUGAGGAGGAAGCCCCGGCUAACUAUGUG
rnacentral:rRNA from 1 species